GUGGGGAAUAUUGGACAAUGGGCGCAAGCCUGAUCCAGCCAUGCCGCGUGAGUGAUGAAGGCCCUAGGGUUGUAAAGCUCUUUCACCGGAGAAGAUAAUGACGGUAUCCGGAGAAGAAGCCCCGGCUAACUUCGUGCCAGCAGCCGCGGUAAUACGAAGGGGGCUAGCGUUGUUCGGAAUUACUGGGCGUAAAGCGCACGUAGGCGGACAUUUAAGUCAGGGGUGAAAUCCCGGGGCUCAACCCCGGAACUGCCUUUGAUACUGGGUGUCUGGAGUAUGGAAGAGGUAAGUGGAAUUCCGAGUGUAGAGGUGAAAUUCGUAGAUAUUCGGAGGAACACCAGUGGCGAAGGCGGCUUACUGGUCCAUUACUGACGCUGAGGUGCGAAAGCGUGGGGAGCAAACAGGAUUAGAUACCCGAGUAGUCC
rnacentral:rRNA from 1 species